rnacentral:rRNA from 1 species
GUAACGGAAGUAGCUUGCUACUAGACGACGACCGGCGCACGGGUGAGUAACGCGUAUGUAAUCUGCCUUGUACAGAGGGAUAGCCCAGAGAAAUUUGGAUUAAUACCUCAUAGUAUUACUGGAUCGCAUGAUUUGGUAAUUAAAGCUCCGGCGGUACAAGAUGAACAUGCGUGACAUUAGCUAGUUGGUAAGGUAACGGCUUACCAAGGCUACGAUGUCUAGGGGUUCUGAGAGGAUGAUCCCCCACACUGGUACUGAGACACGGACCAGACUCCUACGGGAGGCAGCAGUGAGGAAUAUUGGUCAAUGGACGCAAGUCUGAACCAGCCAUCCCGCGUGAAGGAUGACUGCCCUAUGGGUCGUAAACUUCUUUUAUAUGCAAAUAAACCUACUUUCGUGAAAGUAGCUGAAGGUAGCAUAUGAAUAAACACCGGCUAACUCCGUGCCAGCAGCCGCGGUAAUACGGAGGGUGUAAGCGUCAUCCGGAUUUAU